AUUGAACGCUGGCGGCAGGCUUAACACAUGCAAGUCGAGCGGAUGACGGGAGCUUGCUCCUUGAUUCAGCGGCGGACGGGUGAGUAAUGCCUAGGAAUCUGCCUGGUAGUGGGGGACAACGUUUCGAAAGGAACGCUAAUACCGCAUACGUCCUACGGGAGAAAGUGGGGGAUCUUCGGACCUCACGCUAUCAGAUGAGCCUAGGUCGGAUUAGCUAGUUGGUGAGGUAAAGGCUCACCAAGGCGACGAUCCGUAACUGGUCUGAGAGGAGGAUCAGUCGCACUGGAACUGAGACACGGUCCAGACUCCUACGGGAGGCAGCAGUGGGGAAUAUUGGACAAUGGGCGAAAGCCUGAUCCAGCCAUGCCGCGUGUGUGAAGAAGGUCUUCGGAUUGUAAAGCACUUUAAGUUGGGAGGAAGGGCAGUAAGUUAAUACCUUGCUGUUUUGACGUUACCAACAGAAUAAGCACCGGCUAACUUCGUGCCAGCAGCCGCGGUAACAC
rnacentral:rRNA from 1 species